AACUGUGGUCAACUGUGCAUUUAAUCAGUGAUUUGAUGGUGGGAAAUGGUUUGAGAGGUCUCAUUCAUGUCCAUACAAGCCUCAUAUAACAUGUCAAUCAUCAACAUUGAAGAAUUGGAGGUCAGACAAAAAGUUUCCAAAAAAUAGCAAGUGACCUGUAAUUUCCAACUGCCAAAAAUGGAAAGGUCUUCUCCUCAACUUUACAUCAUCAAGAAAGCUUCAAAUC
rnacentral:lncRNA from 1 species